rnacentral:misc_RNA from 1 species
GAUGAAGAACGCAGCGAAAUGCGAUAAGUAGUGUGAAUUGCAGAAUUCAGUGAAUCAUCGAAUCUUUGAACGCACAUUGCGCCCUUUGGUAUUCCUUAGGGCAUGCCUGUUCGAGCGUCAUUUAAACCUUCAAGCUCAGCUUGGUGUUGGGUGACUGUCCGCUUCACCGCGGACUCGCCUCAAAAUUAUUGGCGGCCGGUACAUUGGCUUCGAGCGCAGCAGAAACGCGAACUCGGGCCCGUCGUAUUGGCUCCCAGAAGCUAUCUUCACAAUUUUGACCUCGGAUCAGGUAGGGAUACCCGCUGAACUUAAGCAUAUCAAUAAGCGGAGGA